UGGGGAAUAUUGGACAAUGGGCGAAAGCCUGAUCCAGCCAUGCCGCGUGUGUGAAGAAGGUCUUCGGAUUGUAAAGCACUUUAAGUUGGGAGGAAGGGCAGUUACCUAAUACGUGAUUGUUUUGACGUUACCGACAGAAUAAGCACCGGCUAACUCUGUGCCAGCAGCCGCGGUAAUACAGAGGGUGCAAGCGUUAAUCGGAAUUACUGGGCGUAAAGCGCGCGUAGGUGGUUAGUUAAGUUGGAUGUGAAAUCCCCGGGCUCAACCUGGGAACUGCAUUCAAAACUGACUGACUAGAGUAUGGUAGAGGGUGGUGGAAUUUCCUUUGUAGCGGUGAAAUGCGUAGAUAUAGGAAGGAACACCAGUGGCGAAGGCGACCACCUGGACUGAUACUGACACUGAGGUGCGAAAGCGUGGGGAGCAAACAGGAUUAGAUACCCCCGUAGUCCCUGAGCGGGCUGGCAAGGCGCAU
rnacentral:rRNA from 1 species